AUUGAACGCUGGCGGCAGGCCUAACACAUGCAAGUCGAGCGGAUGAAGGGAGCUUGCUCCUGGAUUCAGCGGCGGACGGGUGAGUAAUGCCUAGGAAUCUGCCUGGUAGUGGGGGAUAACGUCCGGAAACGGGCGCUAAUACCGCAUACGUCCUGAGGGAGAAAGUGGGGGAUCUUCGGACCUCACGCUAUCAGAUGAGCCUAGGUCGGAUUAGCUAGUUGGUGGGGUAAAGGCCUACCAAGGCGACGAUCCGUAACUGGUCUGAGAGGAUGAUCAGUCACACUGGAACUGAGACACGGUCCAGACUCCUACGGGAGGCAGCAGUGGGGAAUAUUGGACAAUGGGCGAAAGCCUGAUCCAGCCAUGCCGCGUGUGUGAAGAAGGUCUUCGGAUUGUAAAGCACUUUAAGUUGGGAGGAAGAGCAGUAAGUUAAUACCUUGCUGUUUUGACGUUACCAACAGAGUAAGCACCGGCUAACUUCGUG
rnacentral:rRNA from 1 species